UAGGGAAUCUUCGGCAAUGGACGGAAGUCUGACCGAGCAACGCCGCGUGAGUGAAGAAGGUUUUCGGAUCGUAAAGCUCUGUUGUAAGAAAAGAACGAGUGUGAGAGUGGAAAGUUCACACUGUGACGGUAUCUUACCAGAAAGGGACGGCUAACUACGUGCCAGCAGCCGCGGUAAUACGUAGGUCCCGAGCGUUGUCCGGAUUUAUUGGGCGUAAAGCGAGCGCAGGCGGUUAGAUAAGUCUGAAGUUAAAGGCUGUGGCUUAACCAUAGUACGCUUUGGAAACUGUUUAACUUGAGUGCAAGAGGGGAGAGUGGAAUUCCAUGUGUAGCGGUGAAAUGCGUAGAUAUAUGGAGGAACACCGGUGGCGAAAGCGGCUCUCUGGCUUGUAACUGACGCUGAGGCUCGAAAGCGUGGGGAGCAAACAGGAUUAGAUACCCUGGUAGUCCACGCCGUAAACGAUGAGUGCUAGGUGUUAGACCCUUUCCGGGGUUUAGUGCCGUAGCUAACGCAUUAAGCACUCCGCCUGGGGAGUACGACCGCAAGGUUG
rnacentral:rRNA from 1 species